UACGUAGGGUGCAAGCGUUGUCCGGAAUUAUUGGGCGUAAAGAGCUCGUAGGCGGUGUGUCGCGUCGGCCGUGAAAACCUGGGGCUCAACUCUGGGCGUGCGGUCGAUACGGGCAUCACUUGAGUUCGGCAGGGGAGACUGGAAUUCCACGUGUAGCAGUGAAAUGCGUAGAGAUGCGGAGGAACACCGAUGGCGAAGGCAGCCCCCUGGGCGUGACACUGACGCUCAGGCACGAAAGCGUGGGGAGCAAACAGG
rnacentral:rRNA from 1 species